GACGAACGCUGGCGGCGUGCUUAACACAUGCAAGUCGAACGGAAAGGCCCUGCUUUUGUGGGGUGCUCGAGUGGCGAACGGGUGAGUAACACGUGAGUAACCUGCCCUUGACUUUGGGAUUACUUCAGGAAACUGGGGCUAAUACCGGAUAGGAGCUCCUGCUGCAUGGUGGGGGUUGGAAAGUUUCGGCGGUUGGGGAUGGACUCGCGGCUUAUCAGCUUGUUGGUGGGGUAGUGGCUUACCAAGGCUUUGACGGGUAGCCGGCCUGAGAGGGUGACCGGCCACAUUGGGACUGAGAUACGGCCCAGACUCCUACGGGAGGCAGCAGUGGGGAAUAUUGCACAAUGGGCGGAAGCCGGAUGCAGCAACGCCGCGUGCGGGAUGACGGCCUUCGGGUUGUAAACCGCUUUCGCCUGUGACGAAGCGUGAGUGACGGUAAUGGGUAAAGAAGCACCGGCUAACUACGU
rnacentral:rRNA from 1 species